rnacentral:lncRNA from 1 species
ACAAACUAUAUAAAUAUUAAUAGAAGGUAAAGGGAAAAUAAAUAUUUUAUAACCCUGGUAAGAAUUCCUUCUUUACAAAGACACAAAACUGAAAACACAUAAGAGAAAAACAAUGAAUUUAAAGACACCAAAACUAAAAUUUUUGUGUGACCCAAAAAAAAGGCAACAGAUUUGGCAGACAGAACUCGUAACAUAAGAAAGGAUUAAUAAUUAAGACAUGUAAAAGAUGUCAAAACAUCCAUUAAAAAGAUACACCGCACAAUAGCAAAGUGAAAGCCCGUGUUCUACCAGACACACUCUAGAAGUACAGCAAUGAAAUGGGUGGUGCUGGUGAGCAAAGAGAGACAGGCUUUAUUUCAUGGUGUUAUGACAGAUCCGAUACCCUAAGCUUGCACCUACUGACAACAAUUUAAAAUGUUAGAUGAAACACUCUUUUAAAGGUAUUCCAAAAUGUAUCUCUGAUCAGGCAGAGCGUAAGAAACCGGCAGGGAAAAAAGUGAAAGAUAUACUCCAGGAGGGCAGUGGGGUUUUACCAUUUCUCUGAACUCUGGUGGCCCAGAGCUUCUGAUUCGUUGAAUGCGUGGGGCGUCAGAGAUAAGCAGUAAAGCCCAUGGUUCCUACAAGGGGGUGAGCUCAAAAGGGGCUUCUGAAUACAGUUGGGAUCACAAAGUCCUUCGCCCACAGUGUAAAGGUGAAUGAGAAAUAAACCCCUGUACAGAAGAAAAAGGCAAGGACACAGGUCUGAGUUACUGUUUUAGAAGGGAAAGCACUUCCCUGAGAAUUUCUAACCACCAGGGGGCCUCGUGCAGGUAUCCGGCCCAAAUUUCCACGACACUGACCAGGGAAGUCCAAAACAAUAGCAACCUAACCAGCUGUAAAUGUACCCUUCAGGUAGCUAUGCCCCCAGGCAACUGGCAAAAGCAAACACAAUCCCCUCUGGAGGAAUGCAGCAUCAGUGUGGAUUCACAGCAUUGCUGCAGGCAGCAAACGGAGAAACAGGUAAAGGGUCAGCAAGCAAUCCACACAGGAUAAAAUGUACAUCGUCAAUAAACAGAGAACACAGAAAACGUUGCAGUCUCACCAGGAGUAACCAGAGAUAUGCAAAUAAAAAAACCACAUGAUAUCACUGCACCCAGAUAUCGGCAAAGUUUAUCAAUCUCUUAUUAGGUGCACGCAAGGAUGUGGGAAAGUUGAACGCUCUCUCACAUGUUGCUAACUCAUUCACUGCUCAGCACAAACAUUUCCUGAGCUCCUACCUGUACCUGGCAUUAUUUUGGUGAAAACACAGUCUGUUUUGAAGUUUAUAUUAUAGCAGCCAGAGUCAAAUAAUAAACAAAUAACCAUAUGGUAAGGUCAGAAGGAAGGGCAGAAGGUUAAAGGCUAUAAAGAAAAAUAAAUCAGGGUAAAUACAGAGCACAGAAGUCUGCAAACAUUUCCUGCGAAAGGCCAGACAGUAAACAUUUUAGGUUGUAGGAAAAUGACCUCGGUCGAAACUCCUGGCAUUCCGCAUUUCAUUGCUUUUCACUUUAUAGCGCUUCACAGAUACUGUAUUUUUUAUUACAAAUCGAAUCUCCAUGGCAACCCAGUGUCAAGCACGUCUAUCAAUGCCACUUUCCAACAGCAUUUGCUCACUUCGGGGCUCGGUGUCACAUUUUGGUAAUUCUCUUAAUAUCUNNNNNNNNNNNNNUAAAAUUUGAAACAUUUUCAUCACUAUUACAUUUGUCAGGGUGAUAUGUGGUCAGUGAUCUUUGAUGUUGCUACUGUAGUUCUUACGGGGUUCCACAAACCAUGCCCACGUAAGACAGUAAACUUACUCCACAAAUGUCCACUGUGUUCUGGCUGCUCCAGUGAGGGGCCGUUCCCAUCCCCCUCCCUGUCUCUGAGCCUCCCUAUCCUGAGACACAACAAUACUGAGAUGAGUUAACAACACUGAUAAUGGCCUCUGGGUGUUCAUGUGAAAGAAAGAGUCACACCUAUCUCACUUUAAAUCAAAAGCUGGAAGUGAUUAAGCUUAGGGAGGAAGACAUGUCAAACUGUGGAUAAGCCAAAAGCCAGGCCUCUAAGGGAGCUGUUAGUGUAAAGUAAAAACUCUUGAAAAAAAUCAACAGCGCUACUCUUGUGAAUACAUAAAUGACCAAAAGAAAGCAGGCAAACAGUCCUGCUGCUGCCGUGGAGAAAGCUUCAGUGGUCUGGAUGGAAGAUCGAACCAGUCUCAGUACUCCAGUAAACUAAAACCUAGAUCAGUAGGAGGCCCCAGCUCUGUUCAGUUCCAUAAAGUCUAAAAGAGAUGAGGAAGCUUGUGGAAGAGAAGUCUGAAGCUAACAGAAACUGGUUCACGAGGCUUAAGGAAAGAAACCGUCUCCACGACACUGAACUGUGAGUUGAAACAGCAGGUGCUGACACAGAAGCUGUGGCAAGCGUACACUGUAGGAAAUAGAAAAUAAACUAAUCGAGACUCCUCAAAAGCUUUUUCUUUGCAAUAAAAUAUACAAAGAAAGAUGUAUAUUUGAAAUUCCUUUNNNNNNNNNNNNNNNNNNNNNNNNNNNNNNNNNNNNNNNNNNNNNNNNNNNNNNNNNNNNNNNNNNNNNNNNNNNNNNNNNNNNNNNNNNNNNNNNNNNAAGAUGUAUAUUUGAAAUUCCUUUUAUGUUUAUACCUUAGCUCACAACACGAGGGAACUCCUUUUCAAAGGAUAACACAAGUAAGCGUCAAGCAUAAAGAUGGAGCACCUAGACAAAGCAGCUUACACUGGCGGCCCAGAACCAAGAGCGUCUGCUUUUAAUGACUGUACAAAUUACAACACCCGGGGCCCAUACAAGGUGAGAAACUACAAUAAAGCAACUAGAGAUCCCUACUUCCUGUGAAUAGGUAAAAAAGUCUUUUUUUCUGGUCUUAAUUGUGGAUAAAGGUGGGGGGAGUAUCUGAAUUUUAAUCACGAACUGACCUAUCUGUAUGGUCCAAAGCAUACACUAUUAUUGUUUAGUCACUAAGUCACGUCCAACUCUUUGCAACCCUAUGGACCUGAAGCCCACCAGGCUCCUCUGUCCACGGGAUUUCCCAGGCAAGAAUGCUGGAGUGGGCUGCCACUGCCUCCUCCAGGGGGUCCUCCUGACCCAGGGAUCGAACCCAGGUCACCUCCAUGGGCAGGCAGGGUCUUUACCACUGAGCCACCAGGGAGGCUAAAGCACUCCGAACAGAGGAAUUAAUCUGAAGUAGCCCCACCUUAGUGGCUGUCCCAAAGUAAGAGAAAACACAGGUGCCUCCAGAGGAAGUCUCCUCGUGAUGUGCAAUCUUCCCAUUUUUACAAUUAAAAUCUCCACACAAACUCAAAAUAGAAAUGACGUGAGAAAAGCAAGCGUUGUAGUGAGUGAGUGCACUGGGUUUGAGAGUUUUAUUUGCUGUAAAAAUCUAUGUCAACAGUUAUCUUCUUUCUGUAUCACAGACUGUUCUGUUGUCUUCUGACUUCCCAAUGUUGCUGAUGAGAAUUCUUUGUCAUUUGACUUGCUGUUGCUGAGAUGGUCUGUCUGACUUUGGUAUUUUAAAAUUUCAUGGUAAUGUCCUGAAUUGUUUUCAAUAUCUUAAAAUUCCAAGCAAAUGUGAUCAUGAGACUCACUAAAAAAUUUAGGAUACCUUAGAAUUUUAAGAUAUUGAAAACAAUCCAAGAUACUCAACAUGUUUUAAAAAAUAAUAGGCAAUUAAAAGUCACAGGAAAGAACCAAGAGACAAAGUAAGACUUAGCACAGUUUACAAAGGGAAAAUACACCUUCCAAAAACAAACAGAACUAACUGAACAGCAAGUUAGAUGUAGCUGAAAAGAGAACUUUUGAAGCAGGAGAUAGAAAAGAAAAGUAACUAGAAUGUGGAAUAAGGCAAACAGAAAAAAAGUUGUUUAAAGUUCAGAGAUGCAGAAUAGAGAAGUACUAAAAUACAGGUAACAGGAAUUGUUGAAGAACAUGCAGGGAAGAUAUAAGGACAGAAAACCUUUCAGAGUUGAUGACAGACAUAAAUCCUCAGAUUCAGGAAGCACAACAAAUCCCAAUUCAAUAAAGAUAAUUACAAAGAAUUCACACUUCAGCACAUUACUAUGAAACUUUAAAAUA